ACAACAAUAACAACAACGCGAUAAACCAAUAACAAUAAGACGAAACGACUCUGACAUAACAAGAACAAACGCGACAGAGACGUAGCUAACAGAUUUUUUUGGAGAAGAUGGGCUUUUCAGGGGGUUGCCCCGCAGCCAGGUAGAGAACAACAAAACUACGCCAAGUAGCUACCCACUGGUUGGAUCGAUGAUGAAAGCAGAUCAGCGCUCAAAAAAAUACGUUUGCUCUUGAUCCCUUUUCGGGAUCGCACAACAAGCGACAAGGGUCACGGCUGACAAAUACAACAACAGGCCGCCCCUCAAUAAUAAAAAAAGAGCAUGCAGAAAAACCUUGAGGGGAGCCUAGGCUCCCCUCAGUGCUUUCCGCGAUUUGGAUUGCAGGCCCCG
rnacentral:sRNA from 1 species